rnacentral:rRNA from 1 species
ACACAUGCAAGUCGAACGAGAAAGUGGAGCAAUCCAUGAGUACAGUGGCGUACGGGUGAGUAACACGUGACUAACCUACCCUCGAGUGGGGAAUAACUUCGGGAAACCGAGGCUAAUACCGCAUAACAUCUACGGAUCAAAUGCGCAAGCAGCUUGAGGAGGGGGUCGCGGCUGAUUAGCUAGUUGGCGGGGUAACGGCCCACCAAGGCAAUGAUCAGUAGCCGGCCUGAGAGGGCGCACGGCCACACUGGAACUGAAACACGGUCCAGACUCCUACGGGAGGCAGCAGUGGGGAAUUUUGCGCAAUGGGGGAAACCCUGACGCAGCAACGCCGCGUGGAGGAUGAAGCCCCUUGGGGUGUAAACUCCUUUCGAUCGGGACGAUUAUGACGGUACCGGAUGAAGAAGCACCGGCUAACUCUGUGCCAGCAGCCGCGGUAAUACAGAGGGUGCAAGCGUUGUUCGGAAUUAUUGGGCGUAAAGGGUGCGUANGCGGUGCGGUAAGUCUUCUGUGAAACCUCCGGGCUUAACUCGGAGCCUGCAGGGGAAACUGCCGUGCUGGAGUAUGGGAGAGGUGAGUGGAAUUCCCGGUGUACCGGUGAAAUGCG